rnacentral:lncRNA from 1 species
GGCGAAGUGGCUUAGGUGUGGAGAGCUAGCUGUGGAUGGCCAGGUCAGAGGCGGCCUCUGAAGAGCUGCCCAAGCAGAAAGCUGCAGCUUGGUAAACAAGGGUGAUCCCUGAGGCAGGGCUAGGGCUCUGCGUGGGCACAGGGUGGGAAGGAGAGGAGGAGGGAGGAAGUCUUCUGUAACCGGUCCUCAGGAGCAGGGGCAGUUGAUGGCUAUUUUUACCCUCACAGGGGAUAAGCCUCCCUGAGGCUACAGAAGCAAAGCCCAGAGAUGGGAGUCGGGGAGACAGAGCCUCCUCAUGAUGUCACGAUGUCACCUGAGCUCCUGGGUCCAGCUUGUUUCAUGAGCUGGUCCCUGCUACAACAUGGUGGAAUUAUGGGAGCUACAAUUCAAGAUGAGAUUUGGGUUCGGACACAGCCAAACCGUAUCAGCAUAGGAUUGGAAAGUCCAUCCACGUCCAUCAGUGAGAGACCAAUGCUGAGCAAAGGAAUACUGUGCAGCAUUAAGAAGAAACCAGUUGGAUCUUCAUGUUCUGAUAUAUUGAUAUAUACAACUAAGAUGCACUGAUAAAUGAGAACAGGCAACAGAAGGCGUGUACAGUGGCUGUCCGUGCUUGCACUGAAUGCAUUCCCCUACACAUACAUGGAUUGUCCCCUUGACAGUAAGAAAGAAACAGUGGCUGCUUCUGGGGAAGACACUGGGGGACUACUUACUGAAUGCUAUUUGGUACAGCUGGAAAGUUCUACAGUGUGCAUGCAAAAGAAAACUGUUCUCACGUUCGUGUCUAAAAAGCUCCCGGGUGAAUCCGGUGCGCAUCCAGGCUUGGUAACUACUAGGUGAGACGAUUCAUUGCCACCCUCCCUCGCCCUAGGAUCUUUCAACUCUAAAGCUCAGGUCCUGGGAUUAGUGAACAAACAUAUGUGUUAGUAGUGGGUAAACUGUAGGGGCCACCAGAAGUGAAGUGUCACCAAUCAGUGAUUCAGUCUGGAAAGGUAACAGUGAUGGGAAUAAGUGCUGUGGUCAUUGUGUACAUUUCAUUGUGUACAUUUCAUAAAUCCUAGCCCCUGGCCAGUGGAAACCAAGCCAGGGCUGUAUUUGACUCCUUGCAACCGUUGGCCGCCCCUGCUUUUUCAGGAGAAGGAAGGGGGUGUAUAAUGUGACACAUCAGCAAGUCAGAACAGAGAGUACCUGUGGAAUGGGUCCUGCCAGGCCUCUGUGCCCUUUUACACAUGAUGUCUUCAAGCUUCCGGUUAGUGACUGCUAACUCUCAACUCAGCCAGCAUUGAACCGGGCACCUUCAUGGGCACUGAUCCUCUGAAUCUCACACCACCAUAUCAUCCCCAUUGUACAGACAGGAAAACUGAGGCUCAGGGGUCACGUCACUCACUUUUUACCUAGAUCCUUCUGACUACAGAGCCCGCCUGCAUCCCACUAUAUGAAUGACCUGAGUGGGCUCUGCGGCAGUGGGGCCUGUUGCCCUGGGGUCCUGUGUUUCCAGCACUCUUUGCCAACUUCACCUGUCUCAGAGCCCUCAGGGAUCCAGCACCAUGGGGUUUACUUUCCCAGGUUCUCUCUGCCCCAAGUUCAGUCACUCCAGCCCAGUGUGGGGGCAGAGAUGUGGCAGAAUGAGGGCACCUUAUGGCCCCUUGAUUCGGAGGGACUCAGUGUGCGACCUUGGCAAGCACCUGAUCCUCCUUGGGCCUCGGUUUUUCCGCGAAUGCGACGGGAAUAAGAACAGUGUCUGCUGCAGGGGUCUCAUGGGGUAUCUAGUGGAAGGUGCACUGCAUUUGCUGGCACUGAGCUUGGUGCUGAGUAAAGGCUUCAUGGAUGUUUGCAGUAAUUCCUGAAAUUAAUGUUCAGGUUGUAAGUUUGCUGUAACACCAGUUAACCCUUCACUCUUUACCCCUAGCUGGUAGAAUAGUGCCUGGUACAUAGUAGGUGCUUAGUAAAUAUUUUUUGCUGAAUGAACAAAUGAACCAUUGACCUGCUGACUGGAGCUACUGCUGACAUACUGGGUGACUUUGGGCUGGUCCAGUCCUCUCACCGAGCUUCAGUUUCUGCAUCUCCCAGUGGGUGGGACCGUUUUGCCAGGCCUCAACCCACCUAGCCCAUUUCUCUUCUGCAGCAGCCUUCAGGGAUCCAUGAGCAGCUCACAGAAAGUUGCCCUUCUGUUUCCCUGAUUAUUAACCUGCAAAUUAGACAAAUCCAUUUUGGAGUGUUCAGCGUUGCCAUGGUAUCACAACGGCUUCCGCUCCCUCUCCCAGGCAGCAGAGAAGUCUCUUCCUCUUCCCUGCCCCCUACAUCCACCCCGCCCGGGAGGCAGCCCAUUGGCCUUAAAGGGCCAGUUCUGUAAGCUCCAGAGAAAGAUGCUUGCUGAAAUCACAGAAUGGAUGUUGCCUCCUGGCAAGGCGUUCAUUUGGUCACCCUUUGGGGAGGCAAAUUGUAGCUAGGAGCUGUGGAGUCAGGGUUCCCCAAGGAAGUGGAGGCUCUCCCCAAUUGCAAGUAGUGACUAGCCCUACAUUUGGAAGGCUGAACCUCAUGCUACCUGUCCCAUCCUCAUAACAAGAUGACCCCAGAAACAGGCCUGGUGGGAAAUGGAGUGAGCUCCAAAUGGGCCCAUUGACCAGAGGAACCUGGUUCAGCAAAAAGCCAGAGCAUCACAGACAUUAGGCCACUCCUGUGGGGCAUCACUUAACGUUGUUUAAAACUCCAGAUUUAAAUUAAGUCACGGUUGCCCUCAGAGGCCACUGCCGUGGGCCUUGGGGACAGAAGUUCUUAAAGGCACUGCCAUGGUAAGAGGGAAGGGCCAAAACUUUGUAUAAGUAACAAAGGUUCUGGCAAAGGUUAAUAAAUAAUCAUUGAAUGCCAGGUAUCGGCAUUACGGAAUUAAACCGUCUUAAUUGGCAUUGUCUCUGCUAGGAGAGACCCUGACAUAUGUAUGUUUUCAAAGUGUGGUGUCUGUUCAUCUUCUGUCUCUAAACAGACAAAAGCUCCCUGAGGGCAUGGUUGGCUUCUCUUAAUUCAGUGUCAUCUGCACUCUGCCACAGCACUAAGCACCUGGCUGCCCAGUCACUCUGGGUUCAUCGACUCUUAGAGAACGCCAUGGGAAGAGUAUAGGCUUACCAGUCCGACAGACUGGGUGGAAACUGCGGUAAAGAAAACUUAGGUUCUGUCUGUUAAUAGCUGUGCCUUAAGCAAGGUAUAAGUGAGGGUUCAAUGAGGGAAGAGGCCACUAGAAUGAGUGGAAUAAGGGACUUGUUAUUGGAAUUUGACCUUUCACAGUGUGGGAGAAGGAAGGUCUGGAUUACAGAGUGGAUGGUCCGAGGGGACAAGGGCCAGUCGAUCUGGAAGCCACGUGGGGAAGUUGAAGGAGGAGAAUCCAGGAAGCUUCUGCCACUGAGCAUCUGGGCUGGACACAGGGCAGAAGGAGGCAAAGGCCCAUGGAAACCCACUGGCGUCUCUGCAACCUGCUGCCACCACAUCCAAUGAGGCUGGCCUGAGAGUGAAGGCUGCUGCUCCCCCACCUCUGGAUUCUCAUGCCUCUUUUGGCCAGCUCAGACCCAGAGCUGUACUGGGGAAUGGGAUUCUGAACAACACAGCUCCAACCUGUCCACAUCAACACAGCACAGACCAACAUGGCCAAGUGUUAGGCCCUUCUGAGCCUCGGUUUCCUCGACCCAGCCGAUACCUUGCUAAUUUAUUUGAGUUCAUUGUAGAUUCUGGAUAAAUCCAGCAUCCCUUUAUGAUUAAAACUCUCACCAAAAUCUGUAUACAAGGGACAUACCUUAAUGUAAUAAAAACCAUCUAACCCAUAGCCAACAUAAUACUGAAUGGGGGAAAGCUGAAAGCAUUCCAUCUGAGAACUGGAACAAGACAAGGAUGUCCACUCUCACCACUUCUAUUCAACAUAGUAGUGGAAGUCCCAGCCAAAGCAAUCAGACAAGAGAAAGAAAUAAAGGGCAUCCAAACUGGUAAAGACAAAGUCAAACUGUCACUGUGUGCUGAUGAUAUGACUGUAUAGCUAGAAAACCCUCAAGACUCCUCCAGAAAGCUCCUAGAACUGAUAAAAUAAUUCAGCAAAGUUUUAGGACACAAAAUUAAAGUACACAAAUCAGUGGCUCUCCUGUGCACCAACAGUGGUUACUCUGAAAAUUAAAUCAAGAACACAACUCCUUUUACAAUAGCUGCAAUAAAUAAAUAAAUAAAUAAAUAAAUAAAUAAAUAAAACACUUAGAAAUAUACCUAACCAAGGAGGUGAAAGACCUCUAGAAAAAAAUCUACAAAACACUGCUGAAAAAAAUCACAGAUGACAUCCCAUGCUCAUGGAUGGGUAGGAUCA